rnacentral:rRNA from 1 species
UCUUCCCUCUUUCCUCGUGCCUCCUCCCUGCACGUCGAGCGCACGGACGAGAAGCUUGCUUCUCUGAUGUUAGCGGCGGACGGGUGAGUAACACGUGGAUAACCUACCUAUAAGACUGGGAUAACUUCGGGAAACCGUAGCUAAUACCGGAUAAUAUUUUGAACCGCAUGGUUCAAAAGUGAAAGACGGUCUUGCUGUCACUUAUAGAUGGAUCCGCGCUGCAUUAGCUAGUUGGUAAGGUAACGGCUUACCAAGGCAACGAUGCAUAGCCGACCUGAGAGGGUGGUCGGCCACACUGGAACUGAGACACGGUCCAGACUCCUACGGGAGGCAGCAGUAGGGAAUCUUCCGCAAUGGGCGAAAGCCUGACGGAGCAACGCCGCGUGAGUGAUGAAGGUCUUCGGACCGUAAAACUCUGUGAUUAGGGAAGAACAUAUGUGUAAGUAACUGUGCACAUCUUGACGGUACCUAAUCAGAAAGCCACGGCUAACUACGUG